UACGUAGGCAGCGAGCGUUGUUCGGAAUUACUGGGCGUAAAGAGUGUGUAGGCGGUGCUCUAAGUUCGGUGUGAAAUCUCCUGGCUCAACUGGGAGGGUGCGCCGGAAACUGGAGUGCUUGAGCGUGGGAGAGGAAAGCGGAAUUCCUGGUGUAGCGGUGAAAUGCGUAGAUAUCGUAAGGAAGACCAGUGGCGAAGGCGGGUCUCUGGGACGGUACUGACGCUGAGACGCGAAAGCGUGGGGAGCGAACAGG
rnacentral:rRNA from 1 species